UGUUUUUGUGUUAUGUUAUAUCCCAUUCUCAUCCCAUAUAAAUAUACGUAUAUAUCACAUUGUGAACUCUCUCACCUUCACCCUUUGUAUGUUAUUCAUUCUUUCUCCACAUUCUGUUUCUUCACCCAGAAAAAUAAAGGGAAUUUUUUUUCUUUUUCAAUUUUUUCCAAGUGAGAAACUCAGCUGCUCAAGGUUUGUGUUCUCGCUUAUCGUCUGAGCUUGUUGCGGAGGACUCUGCAGUUCGUGCACUUCACAAUCACUCUGAUUGGGCUCUGCGGGGGUGAUCUGUUUGCAAUUCGGGGCUGGAAAUCUUGCUUGUGUUUCGUGCCUUUGUGAAUUCCCUACGGAAUGAAGAGGUCAAGGGAUGAUGCUUACAUGAGUCCACAACAUAAACGGCCUAUGGUGUCUUCUAGAGGAGAACCCUCGGGGCAACCACAGAUGAUGAGUGGUGGUGGUCAGAGACUAACCACAAAUGAUGCCUUGGCAUAUCUCAAGGCUGUAAAGGAUAUGUUUCAAGAUAAGAGAGAAAAGUAUGAUGACUUUCUGGAAGUCAUGAAGGAUUUCAAGGCUCAAAGAAUUGAUACAACUGGUGUCAUAGCAAGGGUGAAGGAGCUGUUUAAAGGGCACAAAGAUCUAAUUUUGGGAUUUAACACCUUCUUACCAAAGGGAUAUGAAAUUACACUUCCAUUGGAGGAUGAACAACCUCCCCAAAAGAAGCCUGUUGAAUUUGCAGAAGCCAUAAGUUUUGUGGGCAAGAUUAAGACUCGCUUUCAAAGCAAUGACAGUGUUUAUAAGUCAUUUCUAGACAUAUUAAAUAUGUACAGAAAGGAAACUAAGUCCAUCACUGAGGUUUACGAGGAGGUUGCUGCACUUUUCCAGGACCAUGCAGACCUUCUUGAGGAGUUUACGCAUUUUCUUCCUGAUACUUCAGGAACAGCCUUUAAUCACUAUGCUUCUACUCGAAAUCCUCUGCUUCGUGAUAGGAGCUCUGCAAUGCCAACACUGAGGCAAAUGCAUGUUGAAAAGAGAGAGAGGAACAUUGCUUCACAAGGUGAUCACGACUUUCGUGCUGACCAUCCUGAUCCAGAACACGACAGAGGUUUGAUCAAGGCUGAUAAGGAUCAGAGGAGGCGUGGUGAGAAGGAAAAGGAAAGUAGAGAAGAGAAAGACAGGAGACAGCGGGAAAGGGAUGACAGAGAUUAUGAUCAUGAUGGUAGUAGGGAAAAUUUAUCUCACAAGCGGAAAUCUGCUUGUAGGGCUGAAGAUUCUGGCGUUGAACCAAUGCAUGAUACUGAUGAAAAUUUUGGCAUGCACCCUGUCUCAUAUGCUUGUGACGAUAAAAGUUCUUUGAAAAGUAUGUAUAGUCCAGUGAUUGGUUACCUUGACAAAGUGAAGGAGAAAUUACAAAGCCCCGAGGAUUACCAGGAAUUUUUGAAGUGCCUAAACAUCUACUGCAAGGAAAUAAUUGCCCGUCAUGAAUUGCAAUCAUUGGUGGCCAAUUUGCUGGGAAAACAUGCAGACCUUAUGGAGGGAUUUGAUGAAUUUUUGACUCAAUGUGAAAAGAACGAAGGAUUCCUUGCUAGUCUUCUGAAAAAAAAAUCCUUUUGGCAUGAAGGACAUGGACCUAAACCAAUGAAGGUUGAGGAUAGGGACCGUGAUAGGGAUGACGGGACGAAAGAAAGGGAUCGUCGAGAAAGGGACAAAUCCAAUGCAACUGCCAACAAGGAUGGUUCUGCUCCUAAGAUGUCUCAAUAUGCCAGCAAAGAUAAGUAUUCAGGAAAGCCUAUAAGUGAACUGGAUCUUUCCAACUGUGAUCAAUGCACUCCCAGUUAUCGCCUUCUGCCCAAAAAUUACCUAGUACCGCCAGCCAGCCAGAGAACAGAGCUUGGUGCUGAGGUGUUGAAUGAUUACUGGGUUUCUGUUACUUCGGGUAGUGAGGACUAUUCCUUUAAACAUAUGCGCAAAAAUCAGUAUGAGGAGAGUUUGUUUAGAUGUGAAGAUGACAGGUUUGAACUUGACAUGUUGUUAGAGUCUGUAAAUGUGGCAACUAAGCGUGUUGAGGAACUUUUAGAAAAGAUUAAUGCUAAUAUAAUUAAAGGAGACAGUCCAAUUCGUAUUGAGGAGCACUUGACAGCUCUAAAUCUUAGAUGCAUAGAAAGACUAUAUGGAGAUCACGGGCUUGAUGUAAUGGAUGUGCUAAAGAAGAAUGCAUCUUUAGCUUUGCCAGUCAUAUUAACCCGCUUGAAACAGAAACAGGAUGAGUGGGCAAGGUGUCGUGCUGAUUUUAAUAAAGUUUGGGCUGAAAUAUAUGCAAAGAACUACCACAAAUCACUUGAUCAUCGUAGUUUUUACUUUAAGCAGCAGGAUACUAAGAGCUUGAGCACUAAAGUCUUACUUGCUGAAAUCAAAGAAAUUAGUGAGAAGAAAAGAAAAGAAGACGACGUUCUUCUUGCAAUUGCUGCUGGAAACAGACAGCCAAUUAUUCCUCACUUGGAAUUUGUGUAUCCUGAUCCAGAGAUCCAUGAAGAUCUGUAUCAACUCAUAAAAUAUUCUUGUGGAGAAAUGUGUACAACUGAACAGUUGGAUAAAGCUAUGAAGAUUUGGACAACAUUUUUAGAACCUGUGUUUGGAGUUCCGUCUCGAUCCCAAGGUCCAGAGGAUACAGAAGAUGUUGUCAAGGAUAGGAAUAAGUCUGCCAAAAGUAGCACUGAAGUUGUUGCUGGUGAUGGUAAUCCUGUAAUGAAUCCUAAGAAUUUAAACAUAAAUAGAAAUGGGGAUGAAAACUUUCCAUUUGAGCAAUCUCAUUCCUGCAAACAAUGGCAACCAAGUGGACAUGCUAAGGUUAAAAAGGAUAAUCAUCUUGAUUCGGACAGCUUUGCACAAAAGACUGAAGCCCUAGGUAGUAAUAUGCAGCAGGGUAAAAUAAAUAUAAAUGCAUCUAUACCUGAUGAAAUAUCAAGAGCCAAUAAGCAAGAUCAUUCCACUGAACGGUUGGUGAAUGCUGAUGUCUCACGAUCCUCGGCUGGGGAACAAAAUAAUAGAAGUACAAAUGUGGAUAACGCAACAGGACUUGCUGCUACUCCAUUAAGACCUGGUAAUAUAUCUUCCGUAGGAGGAGUUGGUUUUCCUUCAUUAGAGGGUGCUGACUCUGCACGACCAGUCACAUCAACAAAUGUGGCCAUCAUUGAAGACUCUAAAGUUCACAGACAUCGGGAAGAACCUGUCGGACACUUCAGAUGUGAAAGAGAAGAGGGUGAGUUAUCACCUAAUGGAGACUUUGAAGAAGAUAAUUUUGCAGUUUAUGGACAUACUAGUUCGGAGGCAGUUCAUAAAGGAAAGGAUAGUAACAUUUCCCAACCAUACCAAAACAGGCACGGGGAAGUAGUUCGUGGUGAAGCAGGAGGAGAAAAUGAUGCUGAUGAUGAAGGAGAAGAAAGUCCCCAUAGAUCAUUGGAGGAUAGUGAAAAUGCUUCAGAAAAUGGAGAUAUUUCUGGCACAGAGUCUGCUGAUGGUGAGGAGUGUUCUCCAGAACAUGAGGAUGGGGGUCAUGAUCAUGAUGACAAGGCUGAGAGUGAAGGUGAGGCAGAAGGAAUGGCUGAUGCCAAUGAUGUUGAAGGGGAUUGUGCCUCAUUGCCAUAUUCAGAACGCUUUCUUGUCAAUGUAAAGCCUCUGGCAAAAUAUGUUCCUCCGACGUUGCAUGAGAAAGAAAGGAUUGGUCGAGUCUUUUAUGGAAAUGAUUCCUUUUAUGUGCUAUUUAGACUCCAUCAGACAUUGUAUGACAGGAUACGAUCUGCAAAGGUUAACUCAUCGUCUUCUGAAAGGAAGUGGAGGGCUUCAAAUGAUACAGACUCUACUGAUCAAUAUGGCAGGUUUUUAAACGCCCUCUACAAUUUACUAGAUGGUUCUUCUGAUAGUACAAAAUUUGAGGAUGACUGUCGAGCUAUUAUUGGAACUCAAUCAUAUGUCUUAUUCACAUUAGAUAAGUUGAUAUAUAAACUUGUUAAACAGCUUCAAGCUGUUGCCGCUGAUGAGAUGGAUAGCAAGCUGCUUCAAUUAUAUGCAUACGAAAAAUCAAGAAAACCUGGAAGAUUUGUUGAUUUAGUUUGUCAUGAAAAUGCUCGUGUUCUUCUUCAUGAUGAGAACAUAUAUCGUAUUGAAUGUUCACCUUCACCUACCCAAUUGUCUAUUCAACUGAUGGACUAUGGAUUUGAUAAACCCGAAGUGACUACUGUAUCAAUGGACCCUAAUUUUUCGGCCUAUCUGCACAAUGACUUCCUAUCUAUCGUCCCAGACAAAAAGGAGAAGUGUGGAAUUUACCUGAAGAGGAAUAAGCGCAAGAAUGGCAGUGGUGAUGAAUUUUCAAGCCAGAGCAUGGAUGGACUACAAAUUGUCAAUGGACUGGAGUGUAAGAUAGCUUGCAAUUCGUCUAAGGUUUCAUACGUUUUAGACACUGAAGACCUUUUAUAUCAAACAAGAAGAAAAAAAAGGAGGUCCUUGCAUCAGAGCAGUUCAUGCCUUGAACAAUCAAAGUCCUCAAUUUCUUCAAGCAGAGAACAACGAGUUUGCAAAUUAUUUUCAAAUUGACUAUGAUUCAUUUUCAGCCCGAGAUGUGAUUUUGGUCAAGCAUCAAUGGCAGGCAGAGGUGCCAGAUGGAAAUUGGAUGUUAUUUCAGAAAUUCAUCUUUCUUGCAUUCUCUGCAUAUUUCAACCAAAUAAGGCAAUACAGAAAGGAGACGAGGUACGAAGAUUGUAGUAUACUCUGACAUGGUGAAUGAUGAUGAGUUUGAAUCAUGUAAAUAGAGGUGGCUGCAAUUUGCCCACACAUUCUAUUGCGUAGUGCAUGAACCAGGUUCACCUGUUAGAUACUGAUGUUUGCUUCCCCUUGGCCUCUUCUUUCUCAUUCUCUUCUAAUAAUUUAACAUGUAAUGGAAUCUUGGGGGAAUCAUGUCAGCUCAUGUAUAAUCUAUAUCAUAACGUUUUUCAUUCGCCAUUUGGAAUUAAUUUGUUAUUUGUUAUAUCAUCAAUAUACAGUUUUCUUUAAAGAAAAUUGUUUUAGAAACCGUUGAAUGAUGUUUAGUCAUACAAAUGUUCAUUUUAUAUUCAUA